rnacentral:misc_RNA from 1 species
AAGUCGUAACAAGGUUUCCGUAGGUGAACCUGCGGAAGGAUCAUUAUCAAAUGCAAUACGCAUCCACCUAUUUGGUGUGCCUUGCGGUACGCCAAAUGAUUUCUCACGAAAUUACCUCUUCAAACUCUGUCUAAACAUGUUGCAUUAAUAAAUAUAAUUAAAAACAACUUUUAACAACGGAUCUCUUGGCUCUCC